rnacentral:lncRNA from 1 species
GGCUGGUCUAGUCUCAGGUUCCUGGAAGGAGGGAGAAAGGGAGGGCGGUGAAACCUGAGAAAGGAACAGAGGGAGGCUAGCCGGGCCUUCCUUCUGAGGCUUCUUAUCUUCCCCACAUUGGAACAAGAAGAGAAAUCUUCAAGCAGCUGCAGGGACCUGGCUAAAGUGAAGACCUGAUGGUGGCAUCUGCAUCCCUCCUCGAAACCCUUCAGUGGCUGCCUGUUGCUCUUAGGAUAAACCCCAAAUUCUGAUAUCCAAGUCCUGAAGUAUACAAUCUGUCCAGUCCCCACCAUCACCGCUAGAUACCUCACUCGUCCGGAGUUUAGCUUUCCUCAUGUUUCUAAAACAUACCAAGCCCUUUCCAACCUCAGAGCCUUUGCUCAUGCCAUUACUUCUGCCAGGAGUGAUCUUACCUCGUCUUCGUCCUCCUCCCCUUCUUCCUCCUCCCCCUUUCUUCCUCUCUUCCUCAUCUUCCUCUUCUUCCCCUGUGUGCAUGAGCACGCAAGUGUGUGUGUAUGAGUGCGUGCAUGUGUGUCUGUAUCUGUGUGUCUGUGUCUGUGUGUGUGUGUAUGUUCCCCUCAGUGACCCUCAGUGAACCUGGAUGUACUCAUUUUCCAGGCAGGUUGGCUAUCCAGCAAGCCCAGGUGAUCCUUCUGUCUAGCUCCCUGCUCCCUGGGGUUCAGGUGCAUGUGGCCACCCCCAGGUUUUGUGUGGAUACUGAGGA